UUGAUCUCAUAAGAUUUUGAAAUUGGCAUGUACAUGGAAAUGGUUUGAAAGUACUAUGUACAUUGCUUGCCUAGCCGGAGAAUAUCUUUUGCUUCACUGUCAAAGGCUUGCUUCUGGGUGUAAACUUGCAGCUCGCGUAGGAUCAAAGCCAUGGUUAAGAGUAUAUAAAUCGCUCUAAGAUGAUGACAAAGUUAAAUUGCAAGGCAUGCACAACAUGGUAUCCCAACUCAAAACCAACGUACCUAAAUAUUUCAUUUUCAACUUUGAAGCUCUCCCUCCGACUCCCUUACAUCUUCCUCCCCAACCUUCAAUUCGAUCUUCCACUAUUACUUAGAUCCUGUCCUAACGACAUUCACCAAACACAAACAUAUUCGUAUUCACGGAAGAACACAUCUAUAUUCUGCCAUCUCCAUCUCCAUCGCCUUCAACUUGGUGCUCCACGAAUAGAAGAGUCCUCCAUGGAUGCGGUCU